rnacentral:rRNA from 1 species
UACGAAGGGUGCAAACGUUGCUCGGAAUUAUUGGGCGUAAAGAGCGUGUAGGCGGCCAGACAGGUCAGCUGUGAAAACUCGAGGCUCAACCUCGAGACGUCGGUUGAAACCGUCUGGCUAGAGUCCGGAAGAGGAGAGUGGAAUUCCCGGUGUAGCGGUGAAAUGCGCAGAUAUCGGGAAGAACACCCGUGGCGAAGGCGGCUCUCUGGGACGGUACUGACGCUGAGACGCGAAAGCGUGGGGAGCGAACAGG